AUGGGGUUUGGUGCGAGGUGGAGGGCUUGGAUAUGCGGUAUUCUCUCCACGUCGACCACGAGAGUCACUGUUAAUGGUGUGCCCGGUGAGAAGAUAUUCAGCUGUUGCGGCCUGUGCCAGGGGGACCCGGUCUCCCCAAUGUUAUUCAUCCUAUGCAUGGAGCCGUUGCACAAGUUGUUCCUCAAAGCCACGCCAUUUGGCAUCCUCACAACCAUGGCGCGACAAGGUGUACGGCAGCAGCUCUCAAUGUUUGCAGACGAUGUCACUAUCUUCAUCAAGCCUCGGCGGUUGGACUUG
rnacentral:rRNA from 1 species